UAAGACCAGUAAACAAUAAGACGUCACCUUAAACUACCCUGUUAUUCAUGAACCACUGACCCCAAUUACACCAAACUCUGCAAAUAUUUAAGGCAUACAUAGAAAAUGGUGUGUCCAGUUAAACUAAUAGAUGCUUUAUAGUAUUUAGGCUUUGGCGCCUGUUUAAACAAGCAGCCUUACAGUAUAAAUACUAUCAAUUUGGGGGUUUUGUCUGAAAAACAACACAAAGCCCCCUUAACUUAGCAAUGCAUGGUGGUACACAUGUUAAACUCUACCAGCAGAGAGAGCGAAUAUAUGCAAGUCGUAUGCUGUAUGUUGCACUGCGGUAGCUUAAAUUAAACUAAAAUUACAUUCUGAAAACCGAUUAAAAUCCCAUAAAAAUGUUUAAGACCCGUGAACAAUAAGACGUCACCCUGAACCGCCCUGUAAUUCAUGAGCCACUGACGCCAAUUACACCAAACUCUGGAAACUUUGAAGGCAUACAUAGCAAAUGGUGUGUCAAGUUAAAUUAAUACACUUUUUACAGAAUUUAGG